rnacentral:hammerhead_ribozyme from 1 species
GCACUGAUGAAGAGUCCCAAACUAGGACGAAACAGCUGUCCAGUGC